rnacentral:lncRNA from 1 species
UGUGAUCACAGCGCGUGGGCUUUCGCAUCGGGCCUCUUUCACUUAGUGCGCUGUCUUCCAGGUCUGUUGCACUGUAGCGUGUCAGCACCUCACUCCUUUGUGUGGUGUUCCCUUGCUGCACAGACCACACCUCUUCUGUCCGUUCAUCAGUCAAUGGGCAUUUGUGCUGUGUCUUCUUUUUGGCUGUUACGGAGACUGCUGCAGUGAACACUCAGGGACUUGCUUUGACUUGAACUACGUUAUCAUUUCUCCUGGGUGGAGGCACCAGGACUGGCUGAUGGACGAGGUGGUGCAGACACCCGGGGACAGACAGAGAGACAACUCCAGCCAGGUCUGCCCCUGAGCAGUGGCCCAUGGCCUGGUGGCAGGGAGCUCACAUUCUCAUCUUACACCUUAAGUCAGGAGUGAGAGAAGCAGCUUUACUGAUCAACUACUCUGCGCCAGACACGGGACAUCAGAGCAAUAGGGUUCCUGGUCUGCUGCAUUGCUGCACCUCGGCCAUUUGUCAAGGAGCCUCUGUGCUGUCGUGGCACUGGGGACCUACAGUGAACCUACACAUCCCUUGUCCUCACGGGGGCUUCCUCCUAACGAGGAAGGCAGAGACGGUGAACAGAUGCCGCCCUUCCUCCCUGUGUGGGGUCUGCUUUCCUUCAGGCUUCUUGAGAAUGGCCUUGGAGAGUCAUCCAGCUGACAGAGAGCUGUCUGCACCUUGUCCCUGUCCCCUGGGGCAAAGAGACAGCACGAGUUUCUGCUGGCCAUACUGGUCCUCCAUCACCUGCCAGCAGAGGGGACAGUGUGGUGGGCACCGAUGCCCACUUGGAAUUGCUGGACAGGACUCUAGUGUCCUUCUAGAACAAGGGGUUUCCAUUCAGGCAGCUGCAGCACACGUUACUGGGAACUCCCUGCUUUGGGUCUUAUUUGCUGUUGGCUAGAGUGCCGGGUGGGGGAGGUUGGGCGCUGCCAGGGGAGUCCACCUGCGACAAUGGGCCUGGAUGUGCGAGGAGCAAAGGGAAGGCUCCCUGCUCCUUUUGAAAAUAAUAAUCCAUCAAUUUGUGGACACUCAUUUUUUCCAUUUUAAAAUUGUGACUUAAACACAGAAAAGAUACACACAAAAUAUCUAUUCAUGCAUAUGCAUAUGUGUGCAUGUAUACAGUUUAAAGCUGCAUGUAGUAUAGAUGUCUGCAUUCUCCACCCACGUCAGUAGAUGGGACAUUUCCAGCAGUCCAAAAGCAUUCAUGUCCCUCCUGACAAAGGCCCCUCUCCCUGGGGUGACAGGUGCCCUGACUAUUGUGACAGUCGUGGUCCC